UGUAAACAAUAUGGGGAAUGUACAAGAAAUAAAUAAAAAUACUUAUAUCGAUAAUACUACUCAAAGAAAUAAUAUAAAUAAUAAUUUAAAAAAUAUAAUUAUUUCAAAUGUAUUUUUAGGUAAUAUACCACCUAAUAUAACAGAAGAUAGAUUAAGAUACGUAUUAGAAAUAUUUGGUUAUAUUAUACAUAUUGAAUAUAAAUGGUAUAUUGAUAAAUGGUCUUAUGCAUUUGUUUAUUUUGUUGAUGAAAAUUGUGCUGUAAAUGCAGUUAAUAUUUUAAAUCAAAAAAAGUUUUUUGAUAAUUCUCCUAAUCAUAAAUUAAUAUGUUUUAUCGUUUCAAAACAAAUCCCUAAUCAAAACACGUUACAUUACAACAAGGCAAGUUUUUCUUUAUUAAAAGAUGGACCUCCAGGCGCAAAUUUAUUUAUUUAUGGAAUUCCCUUAAAAUGGACCGAACUAAAUUUAAUACAGUUAGUAAAUAAGUAUGGACAUGUAGUAGGUUUGAGAAUUCCAUAUAUUAAUAAUGACAAUGACAAAAAGCAAGGUAACAGAGGAUUUUGUUUUGUUUCAUAUGAUAACAAAAAAAUCAGCCAUUGAAGCAUUUGAAGAGUUAGCUAAAUUACACAUACAUGGUAAGCUUUUAAAAGUUCAGUUAAAAAAAUGGAGAAGAACAUUUAUUGCCUGCGAAAUUAAAAAAUAUUUACAGUAGUAACAGUAAUGAUAAUGUAAAUAACAAUGAUAAUGUAAAUAAUAACAAUGGCAAUACUAAUACUGGUAAUAACAACAACAAUAACAACAACACUAAUAUCUCUAACAAAAUCGCAAAUAACAACAGUAACAACAUCUCUAACAAUAACAACAAUAAUAACAACAGUAACAACGACAAAAACAAAGAAGUUAACAACGACAAAGUUAAAGAAAUUAACAACGACAACAACAGCAGUAAUAACAACAGCAGUAAUAACAACAGCAGCAACAACAACAACAGUAUCAAAGAAAUGAACAACAACAACAGUACCAAAGAAAUGAACAAUAGCAGUAAUAACAACAAAACCAAAGAAGUGAACAACAACACUAACAUCUCCAAUAACAUCUCCAAUAACAUCUCCAAUAACAUCUCCAACAACAUUUCCAAUAACACCGCUAAUAACACCGUUAAUAACAACAACAACAACAACAGCAACAACAACAACAGCAACAACAACAACAGCAGUAACAACAGCAGUAACAACAGCAGUAACAAAAUCAAAGAAAUCAACAAUAACAAUAACAACAACAACAACAACAACAACAACAGCAGUAACAACAAUAAAGUGGUACGCAGUUUACCA
ensembl:lncRNA